rnacentral:rRNA from 1 species
GUAUUUUGACUGUGCAAAGGUAGCAUAAUCAUUUGUUUUUUAAUUGAAAACUGGAAUAAAAGAGUUGACGUAAAAUAAACUUUUUUAAAAAAUAUUUAAGUUGACAUCAAAGUCAAAAGGCUUUAAUUAAAUAGAGGGACGAUAAGACCCUGUGAAAUUUUAUUUACUUAUAAAAUCAUAACAAGAAAUUGAAAUUUGAAUAAAUUUAACUGGGGCGGUUUAUAUACUAUUAUCUAUUUAAAAAAAAAGACGAAAAUGUAAAUACUUAAAACCUUAAUAUGUAAAAUUUUACAAAUUACUCCAGGGAUAACAGCACAAUCUCAUUUAACAGCACCUAUGAACAAUGGGGUUUGUGACCUCGAUGUUGAAUUGGGAAUACUUAUAUAAGCAAAAAUUUAUAAUGUCAGUCUGUUCGACUGUUAAAAUCCCA